rnacentral:rRNA from 1 species
UACGUAGGGUGCAAGCGUUAAUCGGAAUUACUGGGCGUAAAGCGUGCGCAGGCGGUUUUGUAAGUCUGACGUGAAAUCCCCGGGCUCAACCUGGGAAUUGCGUUGGAGACUGCAAGGCUAGAAUCUGGCAGAGGGGGGUAGAAUUCCACGUGUAGCAGUGAAAUGCGUAGAUAUGUGGAGGAACACCGAUGGCGAAGGCAGCCCCCUGGGUCAAGAUUGACGCUCAUGCACGAAAGGCGUGGGGAGCAAACAGG